AGGAGUCAUAUUAGGAGUUGGUUAGAAGUAAGAGUCUUAAGUAGGAGUCCUAUUAGGAGUUAGGGUUUAGAAGCCCUAUAAAUAGCCAUGUAUUCCUCCUCUUUUCGCAAGCAAUAGAUGAAUCUUUUCUGCAGCCUUUGAGCAGCAACUUGGAGAGAGGAACCCCUAUAGAGUUCCAAGGAGGCCGAUCCCCUAAAGAGAUCAACC
rnacentral:lncRNA from 1 species